rnacentral:rRNA from 1 species
UACCAUGGUGGUAACGGGUAACGGGGUGUUAGGGCACGACACCGGAGAGGGAGCCUGAGAAACGGCUACCACAUCCAAGGAAGGCAGCAGGUGCGCAAAUUACCCAAUCCCAACACGGGGAGGUAGUGACAAUAAAUAACAAUACGGGGUUCUUUAGGAUCUCGUAAUUGGAAUGAGUACAAUUUAAAUCUCUUAACGAGGAACGAUUGGAGGGCAAGUCUGGUGCCAGCAGCCGCGGUAAUUCCAGCUCCAAUAGCGUAUAUUAAAGUUGUUGCAGUUAAAAAGCUCGUAGUUGAAUUUCGGGGUCAGUAGGUCGGUCGUGCCACUGGUGUGAACUGGUUUUACUGAUUCCUCCCUCUUGAAGAACUGUAAUGCCAUUAAUUUGGUGUUGCAGGGAAUCAGGACUGUUACUUUGAAAAAAUUAGAGUGUUUAAAGCAGGCUUUAGCUUGAAUACAUUAGCAUGGAAUAAUGAAAUAGGACGUUUGAUCCUAUUUUGUUGGUUUCUAGAAUUGACGUAAUGAUUAAUAGGGAUAGUUGGGGGCAUUAGUAUUCAAUUGUCAGAGGUGAAAUUCUUGGAUUUAUUGAAGACUAACUACUGCGAAAGCAUUUGCCAAGGAUGUUUUCAUUAAUCAAGAACGAAAGUUAGGGGAUCGAAGACGAUCAGAUACCGUCGUAGUCUUAACCAUAAACUAUGCCGACUAGGGAUCGGAUGAUGUUAAUUUUUUAAUGACUCAUUCGGCGCCUUACGGGAAACCAAAGUGUUU